rnacentral:rRNA from 1 species
GUGGGGAAUUUUGGACAAUGGGCGCAAGCCUGAUCCAGCAAUGCCGCGUGCAGGAAGAAGGCCUUCGGGUUGUAAACUGCUUUUGUACGGAACGAAAAGGCUCUGGUUAAUACCUGGGGCUCAUGACGGUACCGUAAGAAUAAGCACCGGCUAACUACGUGCCAGCAGCCGCGGUAAUACGUAGGGUGCAAGCGUUAAUCGGAAUUACUGGGCGUAAAGCGUGCGCAGGCGGUUUUGUAAGACAGGCGUGAAAUCCCCGGGCUCAACCUGGGAAUGGCGCUUGUGACUGCAAGGCUGGAGUGCGGCAGAGGGGGAUGGAAUUCCGCGUGUAGCAGUGAAAUGCAUAGAUAUGCGGAGGAACACCGAUGGCGAAGGCAAUCCCCUGGGCCUGCACUGACGCUCAUGCACGAAAGCGUGGGGAGCAAACAGGAUUAGAAACCCUGGUAGUCC